rnacentral:rRNA from 1 species
UACGUAGGGACCGAGCGUUGUCCGGAAUCAUUGGGCGUAAAGAGCGUGUAGGCGGCCACUUAAGUCCUGCGUGAAAUCUUGCGGCUCAACCGCAAGCGGUCGUGGGAAACUGGGUGGCUAGAGUGCGGGAGAGGAGAGUGGAAUUCCUGGUGUAGUGGUGGAAUGCGUAGAUAUCGGGAGGAACACCAGUGGCGAAGGCGGUUGCCUGGAGCUUUGCUGACGCUGAGGCGCGAAAGCGUGGGGAGCGAUCCGG